UACAAGUUUAUAGGAUCCACCAAAUUUUUGGUGUCAAAAAAAUUCCAAAUUCAUGUUGUUGCAAAGCUCUUAAAGAGUAGGAUGCGUUGGUGGUCUUGAAAUUUUGGUGGGAUUCACGGUUUAAGAGAAAUCUAGCUCAGAAGUCGAAAAAGGAUAAAACGUUUUGAACUCGAUUCAUACAAACCACUUGAUUAAAAUUUGUGAAAUUAGUGUCUAUAAAAAGCUCUCGAAGA
rnacentral:misc_RNA from 1 species